AUUCGAGAAUGGCAAUUAGCUUAAAAGAAGUUAAUAAAAGAAAACUGAGAAAAAGUGCCAAGCAUAACAUCGAUUUCUCAAACAUGAUAGAGUCAUUUCCCAUGUUAUUCUCGUUGAUCAAAUUAAAGUUAUUUUCUAAGCAUCUUGUAGGUUAUUACAUGAAAUUUAGUGUACGUUACUGUGGGGUUGUUUGUUUGAAGGAUGAGAGGAAGGAAAUUGAGGACAGACACUCAUGACGGUCUUACGGAUGCAUAAGUAGUUCCGACCCUUCAUCCACCCAUCACACAAUACCUUAGUUGUAAUCACCGAAAUAGUGAGAAUGGAAGCCGGAGCUGUUUCAGAAAAACGGCCCUCCAAUAUUCAAGUUAGACGUCUAGAUAUUUAGAGAAAGAAAGUAUAUAAUGUUCUAAGAGUAAGGUUACACGUACCUCCAAAAGAAUAGUAGUGUUCCCUUGUAUACUCUAGCUCAGCUCGUGGCUUGACAUGCUAGUUGUCUUGUCAUUCGAUAGUUAUAACUCGGCGCAUACCCACAUGAGCCAACUACUGUGUUAGUGAGUAGGAGGCUAACCCAGUCAUGCCCCUACAACAUGGCUAGUUGCUCAUCAUCAACUGCCAACAUCUCUAUCCGGGUGUGAGAGCUGUCAGAAGGUACUCUGACGUGCAAGUCAUUUUUUGUCCCCUGACAUCCUUUGGGAUUACCACCGGCCGUUACCCUUCAUCUAAGCUUCUAACGCAGUUAUUGUUUCAACCUCGGUGAAUAGCGGCACCUUGGAGGUAACGAUGGCCCUAGCUCAGAUGGCAUUUGUCUACGGUAGUGACUGUUCUGAGUUUUGGCAUAGAGGGUCUCCGAACUCGUUCUAUAGCGGCAGUUGGUGGAGACCUCCACCAAAGCAAGGUCGGUGUUGAAUAGUAUUCGUACCGAGCUUUAGCGUAGGGAAUCACUGAGUUUACUUCAUAGCAAUAGCCCAGCGGAGGUUCCUUCCUUAUCAAGGCCAGAUUAUGUCAUUGUAUCAUACAAAUUCUUAUAAAAUAGGAUGUCCUCCAUCCGUGAUUUUCACAUGGCAUAAUUUAUCACUGAAAGCAUGAUCAUGGAUCCCAAACUAUUCUCUUCCAUCUUAUUUCUCCCAAAUAGAAGUAAAAUAUUUAAAAACCAAUCUCGCGGAUGAAUCUAGAAUGCCGAGAAACCUUAAAAAGGGCUAAAUUGUCAACAUUAAAAAGUUUUGGGACUAAACUGUCAAAAUCAAAAGUUCUGGAACCAAAUUGAUAAAAUCAAAAAGUUCUGGGAUCAAAUUAAUAAAAUUAGAAAUUUCAAAGACUAAAUUAUAAUUUAUAGUAACUCUAGGGACCAAGUUAUAAUUAACAGAAAAUCUAGGGGCCAAACUAUAAUUAUCAAAAACUCUAAGACUAAAAUUAUAAUUUAUCAAGGGAAUAUUCUCAGAAUAUUCUUGUGCUGACGUGGCUCAUGAUGUGGCACUGAUGUGGAGCUGACUCAGUGCUAACUGGACACACGUGUGGCGCAUGAUGGCGAGCGGCUGACGGGUGAGCACGCAUGACGGGCGCGGAUAAACUCCCUGGGGCGUGGUUCCUCCUACGGGCACGUGGCAGCGCGUGGGGUCACCUUUUUGCCCGUGCGAGCACGUGGAACACCUUCUUGCACGUGACCGAGACAGAUAUGACACGCCGAUGAUCAGGCGGCGCGUGGGGACCCGUCUGGUGUCCAUUUGUGACUCGAUUUGAGGCUGAAACUUCGUCUCGAAGAGAGGAACACCCUGGUGCUAUCAGAAAUUUAUUUUGAGCACUUUUGUAGACACCCGAAUCUUGACCUGACCUCUGAUACCAAUUUAUUGUGCUCAAAAUGAAUCACUAAUUACACACACAAAAGACAAUAGAAAUUUACGUAGUUCUGUCAAUGAUGCCUACGUCUAUGGAGAGAAAUAAAUAAUUCACUAAUCGAACGAAUAUAAUUACAAAGGAGGAGACUCACUAUCUCAACUCACUAUCUCUUACAAUCUCUCUCUAUAUUGCCUCUCACUCUCAACUCACAACACACCGUUCUUAGGCUACAACACACAGCAUAUAAAUCUCAGCACCCUACCCUCCCUUUUAUAGACCAUGGGAAGAAGGUGGUAGACUUUUAGUAGAAUACCUAAUUGUUAUCCUAUUCUACUUAGAGAUAAUCCUCUCAAGAGUUCUAGUUUAUUCGAGAGUUUCACUCUCACAUGAAUACUCUAUGUGAGCUAACCAGACUUGGGCUCAUUCAGGUGGACUAGACUCAAUAAGUUGCUGUUGCGAGGUAGGCUUUGGCAUCUCCCCAAAUUUAUAAGAGAACUUAACAAAGCCCUGCUCCCGUCCGGCGGAGUUCACCAUCGGGUACCGAACAGCUCGAGAACUUUUGAUGUUACUAGAAAUUUCAUCAAAUAGGCGCUUGACCGGAAUGCUAAAUCCGGCGAUGUACUUGUCGCUUUUGAAG
rnacentral:lncRNA from 1 species